rnacentral:rRNA from 1 species
AACGAACGCUGGCGGCAUGCCUAACACAUGCAAGUCGAACGGGCAGGGGCAACCCUGUCAGUGGCGGACGGGUGAGUAACGCGUGGGGACCUGCCUCGAAGUUCGGAAUAACCGCGGGAAACUGCGGCUAAUACCGGAUGUGGCCUGAGGGCAAAAGGGGAAACUCGCUUCGAGAGGGGCCCGCGUCGGAUUAGCUAGUUGGCGGGGUAACGGCCAACCAAGGCGACGAUCGGUAGCUGGUCUGAGAGGAUGAUCAGCCACACUGGGACUGAGACACGGCCCAGACUCCUACGGGAGGCAGCAGUGGGGAAUAUUGGACAAUGGGGGCAACCCUGAUCCAGCAAUGCCGCGUGAGUGAUGAAGGCCUUCGGGUUGUAAAGCUCUUUCGGCGGGGACGAUGAUGACGGUACCCGCAGAAUAAGCCCCGGCUAACUUCGUGCCAGCCGCCGCAGUAAUAC